AGAGAGAGACAUGCGCGCAUAUCAAUAAGCGGAGGAAAAGAAACUAACAAGGAUUCCCUUAGUAACGGCGAGUGAAGCGGGAAGAGCUCAAAUUUGAAAUCUUCAAGGUUUUACCUUGACGAAUUGUAGUUUAAAGAAGUGUUUUCUGUUGAAGUUUUGGUAAAAGUUCUUUGGAAUAGGACAUCAUAGAGGGUGAGAAUCCCGUAUUUGACCAUUAUUUUCAGCUUUGUGAUACACUUUCAAAGAGUCGGAUUGUUUGGGAAUGCAGUCCAAAAUGGGUGGUAAAUUUCAUCUAAAGCUAAAUAUUGGCGAGAGACCGAUAGCGAACAAGUACCGUGAGGGAAAGAUGAAAGGAACUUUGAGAAGAGAGUUAAACAGUACGUGAAAUUGUCAAAAGGGAAGCGUUUGACACCAGUGUUGUUUUCUCGAAAAUCAAUUAAAAAUGGCUCGAUUUUGUAUUGCUGAGACCUUAAAAGCUCACUGUACAUUUUUCGUGUCUUUCUUAAUGCACUUUUCGUUUAACAAGUCAACAGUCAGUUUCUUUUGUUGUAAAAGGGUCAUUGGAAGGUGGCUUUCUUUUCGGAGAAAGUGUUUAUAGCCUUUGGCCUCUGCAAUCGGAGAGACUGAGGUCUGCAGCGUAGACUCUUCGGGGUUAGAUACAUUUGUGCUAAGUUAUAGCUUUUUAUAGACAACUUGUUGACUAUAAUUAGUCUUGUAGCUUACUCGCUUAUGCUAUUUUACCUACGCUUAGGAUGUUGAGUCGUAGAGCACGCAG
rnacentral:rRNA from 1 species